rnacentral:sRNA from 1 species
AUGCGUUAGCGGUAGAAACGGCAUCCUUUUUUGCCAUUAAAAGCAAAAAAGAUAUAGUGAAUGACGCGACUUUUU